GGGUCUUGGGAUACUUUGAGUUAAGCGUCCUUGGGUUUGAAUAGUACUGGGUUGGGUGACCUCCUGGGAAGUCCAAAUCCAGGAGCUU
rfam:Selaginella moellendorffii unplaced genomic scaffold SELMOscaffold_15, whole genome shotgun sequence.